UCCUCUUUCUUUCUUCUUCCUUAGUUCGUGAGCUUCAAUGGAGAAAGGGCAAGAGAGAACUUGAUGAUUUGGUCACCAUUUCAUCCAGACUCCAACAUAGAAAAGCAGCGCCUGCACAUGAAAGGAAGGAGAAAAUGGAUUGAUUCCAUAGUUCUAAGCUUAGGGAAGUCAUCAAUAGUUAUUGGUUAGGCUAUCUAAGAGUGUAAUCAGAUGAAGUAGGUGGACGAACAACUUGUAGACAACCAAGUGUACGGGUUAUUAAAUAGCAAGUUAGCAGCAGGAAAGAGACGACAGAGUGUAAUCAGAUGAAGUAGGUGGACGAACAACUUGUAGACAACCAAGUGUACGGGUUAUUAAAUAGCAAGUUAGCAGCAGGAAAGAGACGACAGGAAGUGGACUCUUGGGUGGAGACUGCUCCAUAAACCCCAAGUUUAUUGAGAUUCAUUCUCACCCCGCGUUAUGGGGAUAUAUUUCAGGUAUCGCAGCAGUUGACGAUCGUUCUCGGGGCAAGAGGCCCGUGGUUGAUGAGUAGAUCUGAGCAUAGAUGUUGCCUGCUUAUUUUGGGAGUCUGUUGUAUAUAUUGUGACACUGUGAUGUAUUAUGUUUAUGUAGGUUGAUGUAGGAUGUUGUAGUUAUGGCACAGAGUCACCUUUUUGAUAUGAUAUAUAUAGAGUUAUGGAUCAUGUAUGUAUACUACUGUAUAUGAUAUGGAAUUGUUGUAUAUUGUGGGUUGUAAGAGCCCCAAGGCAUUGCUGGUCCUUGUGUGUGCCACCCAUUGGAUUAUUAGGUAUAUUUGUGGUAUUAGCAAGCUUAUGUAAAUUUG